AACGAACGCUGGCGGCGUGCCUAACACAUGCAAGUCGAACGAGAAAGGGGCUUCGGCCCUGAGUAAAGUGGCGCACGGGUGAGUAACACGUAGGUAACCUGCCUCUAAGAUUGGGAUAACCUGUCGAAAGACGAGCUAAUACCGAAUAAGACCACAGUUCCCUCGGAAGCCGGGGUCAAAGGUAGCCUCUACUUGUAAGCUAUCACUUAGAGAUGGGCCUGCGUACCAUUAGCUAGUUGGUGGGGUAACGGCCUACCAAGGCAAAGAUGGUUAGCUGGUCUGAGAGGAUGAUCAGCCACACUGGAACUGAGACACGGUCCAGACUCCUACGGGAGGCAGCAGUGGGGAAUAUUGCGCUAUGGGCGAAAGCCUGACGCAGCAACGCCGCGUGAGUGAUGAAGGCCUUCGGGUCGUAAAGCUCUGUCGGAGGGAACGAAUGCUCCUGAGGUUAACAGCCUCGGGAAGUGACGGUACCCUCAAAGGAAGCACCGGCUAACUCUGUGCCAGCCGCCGCGGUAACAC
rnacentral:rRNA from 1 species